rnacentral:lncRNA from 1 species
GAAGAUGCCAAUUUCUGUCUGUUUAUCCUGUACUCCAAAUCCAGGUAGGAAGGAUUGGAGAGUUUUCUUUUGUACUUAUCUACAUCUUAACACUCAUUUUCAGGGAGCAGGGAAGAAUAAAAAUUGACCCUGAAAAUUAUUCAACACCUAGCAUAGCCAAAGAGAAACCUAGGGAAGCAACUACAUUGUAUUAUGGUGCUGCAAGAAGCAUCAUGUAACAAGGUCAGACCGGAAUCUGGCUUUGCCCUAGAAUUACUUUUUGAUCUUAGCAAAACAACAACAAAAAGCCCCACCUAUCUUGGCCUUUUAGUGUUCUCAAUCUGUAGUGGAGAUAAUGCCUCUGCCUUACUUUCGAGGGAUAAAUGAGAUGAUCCCUGUAAAAUGCUUUGAACUCCUCUAAGAAAAUUCUUAAUAAUAGUUACAGGUCAAAUCCUGUUACAAAAAAAUGCCAUCCCUCCCCCUCUCCAAAUGCAACAAAGACUUUGUGUAGAAAACGAUUUCCAAACUCAAGGCAGUGGUUUAUUGAAAGCACUAUUUUAUAGAUUUCAAUGCGGCCAAAGAAUUUAAGCCAUGUUUUAGAGAUCAUUAUAAAGAAAUUUACUUAUUCACAGGUACCAUACUGUUAGAAGACUACUAAGGCAGGAAUACUUCACAUUUAGGUGAUGUCAUGAGUUCAAUAUUUAUUGAUUUUGCUACAUUUGUGUACUAUGAGCGAAUCAAGAAGGAAGACAAAUGAUAUAGCAGGAAUAUGGUUCCUGCAUUUUGUGUUUAGAUUUGUGUUAGAGAUGUUUGUAAUUUCUUACUGUUUGAGUACUUAACUCAUUCAGGAUACAUAGUAAAGCUGAGUAGUUCAUCUAUAUUCUAUCUCAUUUUUAGUGGAGGCACUAAAACUUCUUUAACCCAACAUAAAUCAGGAUUAAAAUCCAUAAUCAUGCAAGUGUAAUUUACUUUAUUUUCAUUAAUGGAGAAUUUUUUUUUGAGACAGAGUCUGGCUCUGUCGCCCAGGCUGGAGUGCAGUGGCGCAAUCUCGGCUCACUGCAAGCUCCACCACCCGGGUUCACGCCAUUCUCCUGCCUCAGCCUCCCGAGUAGCUGGGACUACAGGCGCCCGCCACUAUGCCCGGCUAAUUGUUUUGUAUUUUUAGUAGAGACGGGGUUUCACAGUGUUAGCCAGGAUGGCCUCGAUCUCCUGACCUCGUGAUCCGCCUGUCUCGGCCUCCCAAAGUGCUGGGAUUACAGGCAUGAGCCACCUUGCCCGGCCUUUUUCUUUUUUUUUUUUUUUUGAGACGAAGUCUCACUCUGUUGCCCAGGCUGGAGUGCAGUGGCGCGAUCUCGGCUCACUGCAAGCUCCGCCUUCCGGGUUCACGCCAUUCUCCUGCCUCAGCCUCCCGAGUAGCUGGGACUACAGGCACCCGCCACCACGCCCAGCUAAUUUUUUGUAUUUUUAGUAGAGACGGGGUUUCACCAUGUUAGCCAGGAUGGUCUCGAUCUCCUGACCUCGUGAUCCGCCCGCCUCAGCCUCCCAAAGUGCUGGGAUUACAGGAGUGAGCCACUGCCCCCGGCCCUCAUUAAUGGAGAAAUUAAAGCAUCAUUUAGCGGUCAUCAUUAAAGCGGCCGGGCGCAUCAUUAAAGCGGCCGGGCGCGGUGGCUCACGCCUGUAAUCCUAGCACUUUGGGAGGCCGAGGCGGGCAGAUUGCCUGAGCUCAGGAGUUCAAAACCAGCCUGGACAACACUGUGAAAACCCGUCUCUACUAAAAAAUACAAAAAAAUUAGCCGGGCGUGGCGACAGGCGCCAGCUACUGGGAAGGCUGAGGAAGGAGAAUUGCUUGAACUCGGGAGGCGGAGCUUGCAGUGAACCGAGAUCGCGCUACUGCACUCCAGCCUGGGUGAGAGAAAAAAAAAAAAAAAACAUCAAAUCAUCCUCUUUCACAUUCAAACUAGAGAUCAGGUAAACUCUUAGCCUAGAAUUUGUAAUGUAAUGAUUUCCAAAAAAGUCAACAUACUCACUAUGCAGGAAAAAAAGCAAAGCCAAAAUGGAAAAUUGGCAUAUAAUCUGUUAUUUGGUGGUGAUGUGUGUCCCUAAAUUACCAAACAUGUGAUAAAGAAAACAACAAAGAAGAAAACCUUUAGCCUUAGCUCAGAGAAGCAGCUAGAAUAUUUCAUCAACUCUCCCUUUCCCUGCCAACAAAGAAAAAUCCAAUUUGGGAUGUAACCAAACUUAAAAAUUGUAUCAUAAAAUUUACUUUUAAAAUUCUUUUUUGGGAUAGAGUGUCAAAAAUAAAAAAGCAACUGAAAAGAUGUGGCUGAAAAGAUGAGUUUGUAAUAAAAGUAAAUGCAUGUCUUCAUGAAGGACCUGAAUAGCAUUUUUCUAUCAAAGAAAAUAAAUAUAUUAAUACUCAGAAAAGAGGAAGGUAGAAAGACUUUGGUGGACUUGACCAUCUUUUUUUUUUUGAGGCAGAGUCUCACUCUGUUGCCCAGGCUGUAGUGCAAUGGCGAGAUCUCGGCUCACUGAAACCUCCGCCUCCUGGGUUCAAGUGAUUCUCCUGCCUCAGCUUCCUGUGUAGCUGGGAUUACAGGCACCUGCCACCACGACCAGCUAAUUUUUGUAUUUUUAGUACAGACGAGGUUUCACCAUGCUGGCCAGGCUGGUCUUGAACUACCAAUCUCAGACCAUCCACCCGCCUUGGCCUCUGAAAGUGCUGGGAUUACAGGCAUGAACCACCCCGCCCGGCCCAGAACAUCUUUAAGUAAAAGUCAUCAACUCCCUUGAAGUUCAGAUUCAGGAAUCAUCAUGAAAUAAGGCAGGGAGGUGAAAUCUACCUUUGUUUUCAUAAAGCUUUUUUAUUUAAAAAAUUAAUUUAUAGAUUAAUAAACUGAAAACAGUGGACACAAUAUUGGCUGGGUGUGGUGGCUCAUGCCUGUAAUCCCAGCACUUUGGGAGACCGAGGCAGGCAGAUCACCUGAGGUCAGGCUUGUCUGCCUGGCCAACAUGGUGAAACCCUGUCUCUACUAAAAGUACAAAAUUAGCCAGGCGUGGUGCCGCACACCUGUAGUCCCAGCUACUAAGGAGGCUGAGGCCAGAGAAUCAUUUAAACCUAGGAGGCGGAGGUUGCAGUGAGCUGAGAUUGCACCACUUCACAUCAGCCUGAGUGACAGAGCGAGAUUCCAUCUCAAAAACGAACAAACAAAAAAAAAAACUUAAGACAUAAUAUAAAUUUCAUAAUUUUGUGGGUAUUUAGAAACACUAACAUUAAUUUACCUUUUUUUUUUUUUUAGACAGCGUCUCACUCUGUCACCUAGGCUGGAGUGCAGUAGCAUGAUCUUGGCUCACUGCAGCCUUGACCUCCUGGGCUCAAGCAAUCCUCCCAUUUCAGCCCCAGAGCAGCUGGGCCUACAGGUGCCUGGCUAAUUUUUUUAUUUCAUUGACAAGGUCUCACCAUGUUACCCAGGCUAAUAGUUUACUUUUAAAGAGGAUUUUAAAGCAGAGAUAUAAAGUUCUUUAUGUUAGUGUGUACAUGUAAGUGACAUGCAUGAUGGUGAUUGUUGCUGUUAUUGGUAGCACAUAGUAUAUGUUUAGGAUUGUAAAAAGGCUAGAAUUUUGUAUUCUGGUCAUUCUUAUAAACAGAUGACAGAAUCACCUAUUCACACAUUCAUUACAUUGGUGCCCACAUACUCAUUGGUUAUACCCUCAGGGCCCCUCAGGAGCUGGUAGAUUUAACAGGAAAAUUAUUCUGAGAUGAAUGAGAGACAAAGAGAUUAUUUUGUGAGUGACAGAUUUCAAUAUCAUACGUGGGCCCAGAUGCUCACCAUUAUUCCUCUAUAAUAGCAUUGGCUUACAUUUACUAUAAGCACUUACUACAUGCCAGCCACUAUUAGAAGAGUUUUCCAGCCAGCCACGGUGGCUCACACCUGUAAUCCUGGCACUUUGGAAGCCUGAGGUAGGAGGAUUGUUUUUGAGCCCAGGAGUUCAAGACCAGCCUCCAGGAGUUCAAGACCAGCCUGGGCAACACUGGAAGAUCCUGUCUCUACAAAAGAAUUUUAAAAAAUUAGCCGGGCUUGGUGACACACAUCUGUGGUCCCAGCUACUUCGGAGGCUGAAGUGGGAGGACCAGUUGAGCCUGGGAGGUCAAGGCUGCAGUGAGCCAUGAUCACACCAAGGCACUCCAGCAUGGGCAACAGAGCAAGACCCUGUCUCAAAAAAAAAAAAAAAAAAAAGUUAAUUAUGUAGACUUUCAAACUCUUAAUGCUUUUCAUAAUCUUUUUUCAAAACUUCAAAGGGAUUGUUAGGAACUAAAGUGUCUUGCAAAAGAACAUUUAGCUAAAAUUUGGUAAUUCCUUCAUUUUGUUUCAGCUUCAUUUUCUUCAAUUUCUUCAUUUUGCUUCAUCCUCAUUUAGUAACUAUGUAUGGUAUGUGUGAGCCUUUUGUGUAAAUUUAUCUCUCUGUGUAUAUAUGCAAAGGGAAGGUUUGUGGAAUAAUGUUAAUAAUGGUUUUUUUAGGUGAUAGAAUUUUGGGAUUUUACUUUGUACUUUUCUGUAUUAAUUUUUUAAUAAGAAGCAUGUACAAAAUAAAGUCUUUAAAAAAAUAAGAGUUGUCAUGAGUCUAUACACCAUGCAAAAAGGAAUUUGAUGAUUUGAAACCUAGAUCAUUGCCAGAGUUUUAACCAGCUACCCAAGUUUCCUCAAACCUUAUUUAAAUAAGGCUGGGUAUGGUGACUCAUCCCUGUAAUCCCAGCACUUUGGGAGGCUGAGGCAGGAAGAUUGCUUGAGCCCAGGAGUUCAAGACCAGCCUGGGCAACACAGCGAGACCCCCGUCUCUAAAAACUGUAAGAAUAAAUUAGGUAGGUGUGGUGGUGUAUACCUGUAGUCCCAGCUACUCGUGAAGCUGAAGCUAGAGGAUUACUUGAGCCCAAAAAGUUGAGGCUGCAGUGAG